GUUUCCUGUCAGCUCUGUGGUCGGUCUUGUUUUGCCUGCCUGCACUCUAAAAAUGAUUUGUUGUUUGAAAAACCAUUACUUAUAAAAAUAAAUAAACUAAACACAAAUAACAAAGUAAGUUUAACUUUUCAACCUCUACUUAGCAUAUAUAGUGUCGGUAACAUAAAUAUAUAAGUUACAAGGUGAACCUAAGUGUAUGCCUAAAUAUAAUGAAAAAACAUAAGUCACGUCAACUAGUAUUAAAAUUGCAACUUAGUUUAAUUGCAAAUUAAAGCUAAGUAAUUAUAACAAUAUUUUAAGUAUAUGACUGGGCCAUGUGAUAUGCAAAUCUGGAAAAAACUGCAUCCAUCUGGUGAUGCACAUGUGAAGACGGUGGAAAGAGUGUUAGCUGAAGAUAUUUUCUGAAACGCAAAGAGGCGAAGACGCUGAAAAGAGUUCAGAGCAAGAAAGUGUUGAAAAAGGGGCAGCAUGAAGGAAGUGUCCUGUUUGAAGUGAUCUUUCAUUUGUUAAUGUGACACAUUUGUUGUACAUUCAUGAUGUGUGGUUUUAGGCUUCACCAUUGCAUUGCAGCCUGUUUCAAAAAAUAAAGUGAAAUGCUUUAUUUUGUGUAAUUUGCAUGUGUAAUUUAUUUUAGUGAAGUGACAUGGUGACCCAUACCUGUACUUGGAAUUUGUGCUCUGUGUUUAACCCAUCCAAGCAGCAGUGCAAUAUGCAGACCAAUAGCUGAUAAUCUACAAUAAGUUACAAUUUUACAUUGGUUCAACUCAAUUAAUUCUUUUUUUUUUUAACAUAAAUGAGCUUAAAUUUUAAGAUAACUUGCAAUUACUUUGUAGAUUCUAUCAUCUUACAUAUAUUUUUAAAUAAACAAUGUUGUGUGUACCCAAAAAUUUAAGUACAUAACAACAGUUUUCUUGUUAAUUUUAAGUACUUUUUUUCCAAGUUGGGUUUACUUAAAAAGUGUGAUGCAAAAAUGGUGCAUACAUAUUUUAAGUAUAUCCAACACAUCAUUUUUUACAGUGUG